GACGAACGCUGGCGGCGUGCCUAAUACAUGCAAGUAGAACGCAGUUGCGAACGGGUGAGUAACGCGUAGGUAACUGCCCCAUAGCGGGGGAUAACUAUUGGAAACGAUAGCUAAUACCGUAUACUGUGAGAUGUACCUGAUUUGUAUUAGCUAGUUGGUGAGGUAAAGGCUCACCAAGGCGACGAUACAUAGCCGACCUGAGAGGGUGAUCGGCCAAUCUGGGAAUGGGACAAGGCCCAAGCGCCUACGGGAGGCAGCAGUAGGGAAUCUUCGGGAAUGGGCGGAAAUCUGGCCGAGCAACGCCGCGUGAGUGAAGAAGGUUUUCGGAUCGUAAAGCUCUGUUAUUAGAGAAGCGGUAACUAAAGAGAAAGGGACGGCUAACUACGUGCCAGCAGCCGCGGUAAUUG
rnacentral:rRNA from 1 species